GGGUGAGUAUCACGUGGAUAACCCACCUAUAAGACUGGGAUAACUUCGGGAAACCGGAGCUAAUACCGGAUAAUAUAUUGAACCGCAUGGUUCAAUAGUGAAAGACGGUUUUGCUGUCACUUAUAGAUGGAUCCGCGCCGCAUUAGCUAGUUGGUAAGGUAACGGCUUACCAAGGCAACGAUGCGUAGCCGACCUGAGAGGGUGAUCGGCCACACUGGGACUGAGACACGGUCCAG
rnacentral:rRNA from 1 species